rnacentral:rRNA from 1 species
UACGAAGGGGGCUAGCGUUGCUCGGAAUCACUGGGCGUAAAGCGCACGUAGGCGGCUUCUUAAGUCAGGGGUGAAAUCCUGGAGCUCAACUCCAGAACUGCCUUUGAUACUGGGGAGCUCGAGUCCGGGAGAGGUGAGUGGAAUUCCUAGUGUAGAGGUGAAAUUCGUAGAUAUUAGGAAGAACACCGGUGGCGAAGGCGGCCCACUGGUCCGGUACUGACGCUGAGGUGCGAAAGCGUGGGGAGCAAACAGG